UAGGGAAUCUUCGGCAAUGGGGGCAACCCUGACCGAGCAACGCCGCGUGAGUGAAGAAGGUUUUCGGAUCGUAAAGCUCUGUUGUAAGAGAAGAACGUGUGUGAGAGUGGAUAGUUCACACAGUGACGGUAACUUACCAGAAAGGGACGGCUAACUACGUGCCAGCAGCCGCGGUAAUACGUAGGUCCCGAGCGUUGUCCGGAUUUAUUGGGCGUAAAGCGAGCGCAGGCGGUUUAAUAAGUCUGAAGUUAAAGGCAGUGGCUUAACCAUUGUUCGCUUUGGAAACUGUUAAACUUGAGUGCAGAAGGGGAGAGUGGAAUUCCAUGUGUAGCGGUGAAAUGCGUAGAUAUAAGGAGGAACACCGGUGGCGAAAGCGGCUCUCUGGUCUGUAACUGACGCUGAGGCUCGAAAGCGUGGGGAGCAAACAGG
rnacentral:rRNA from 1 species